UACGUAGGGGGCGAGCGUUGUCCGGAAUCAUUGGGCGUAAAGCGCGUGUAGGCGGCCCGGUAAGUCCGCUGUGAAAGUCCAGGGCUCAACCCUGGGAUGCCGGUGGAUACUGUCGGGCUCGAGUCCGGAAGAGGCGAGUGGAAUUCCUGGUGUAGCGGUGAAAUGCGCAGAUAUCAGGAGGAACACCAAUGGCGAAGGCAGCUCGCUGGGACGUGACUGACGCUGAGACGCGAAGCGUGGGGAGCAAACAGG
rnacentral:rRNA from 1 species